rnacentral:rRNA from 1 species
UACGUAGGGUGCGAGCGUUGUCCGGAAUUAUUGGGCGUAAAGAGCGUGUAGGCGGUCAGGUAGGUCUGCUGUGAAAACUCGAGGCUCAACCUCGAGACGUCGGCGGAAACCAUCUGGCUAGAGUCCGGAAGAGGAGAGUGGAAUUCCUGGUGUAGCGGUGAAAUGCGCAGAUAUCAGGAAGAACACCCGUGGCGAAGGCGGCUCUCUGGGACGGUACUGACGCUGAGACGCGAAAGCGUGGGGAGCGAACAGG